GAUGGAGUUUCAGUAUAACUGGUUUAUUACAAAGCAUUGACUUUACUUGAUCUUGGAGCUUAAAAAUAUAGAAUUACAGUGAAUGAAGACUCCUAUGCACAUAUUUUGAUGGAAAUGAAAUACACAUUAGUAAGCUUGAUUUAUCCACAAGUAACUGGAGACACCCGUGUCUUGUCCCACCAGUAAAAUAAAGCUCCUUUUCUUCAUUCAUAGGGUACCUUUCUGAGUCGGGCAACAAUCAGAAGCUUGUGGGUUUCCAU
rnacentral:lncRNA from 1 species